UUUUGCAAAAUGGUUGAAGAAUAAGUAAUUGUUGUAUCUUUUCUUAAUAAAAGCAUUCGAUGAUUACCGAUUUUGGCAUAUUGCCAAGGGAGAUGUUUACUGAGGAUUCCAUGCCAUUAAUGUGCAGGCUGUUGCUGACGCCAGCAUGAGCAAUAUCUGAGCACCAAUGAUGAGGGUCAUUUGCUGGGAGAUAGUGGGUAUCCGUUAAGGACUAACCUGAUGACCCCUUAACCUCAUCCCUCCCAUGCUGCGGAACAGGCCUACAAUGACCAUCUAUGUAGAGGAUAUCUGCAUGCCACUGGUGGAUGUUGGCCUUUCAAGUCCAAUAAGUGCUGUGAAAUAUCAACUGUGUACAUGCCCCUGCAUAACCUGUGUCUGGAUUCAAACGUUCCACUGAUAGAGGAAUUGGUUGGAAACGUGAUGGAACCGGAUUUUAUGAACAACACACCAGUACAUCGAGCAGCAUGUGAUAAGAGGCAGCAGCUGAUCAAACUGUUUCAUAAAAUAUGUUAAAAAUUUAUAGUUAUAAAUGUUAUAAAGUGAUAGAUGGCUUGAGUCUUCUCUGAAUAGGCAGAGCUACACUACUCAGCCAAAUGGCGUAAAGUUGUGUCAUAGCUGAUUUGGAAGGAUUGGUAUUCCUGGUCGUCUAGACACAAUAGUUACAACAGCUGAUGUU